AACGAACGCUGGCGGCAUGCCUAACACAUGCAAGUCGAACGAGACCUUCGGGUCUUGUGGCGCACGGGUUCGUAACGCGUGGGAACCUUCCCUUAGGUUUGGCAUACCUCUCCGAAAGGGGUGCUAAUACCGGAUCAUGUCUUCUGCCCAAGGAUUUAUCGCCUUUGGUUGGGCCCGCGUUGGAUUAGCUAGUUGGUAGGGUAAAAGCAUACCACGGCGACGAUCCAUAGCUGGUUAGAGAGAAUGGUGAGCCACACUGGGACUGAGACACGGCCCAGAAUCUUACGGGAUGGAGCAGAGGGGGAUAUUGGAAAAUGGGGGAAAGGAUGAACGAGCAAGGACGCGUGAGUGAUGAAGGCAGGAGAGAAGAAAAGCGUUAGUAACCGGGAUGAUAAUGACAGUACCGGGAGAAUAAGCCCCGGCUAACUACGUG
rnacentral:rRNA from 1 species